UACGGGGGGGGGCAAGCGUUUGUUCGGAAUUACUGGGCGUAAAGGGCUCGUAGGUGGCCAACUAAGUCAGACGUGAAAUCCCCAGGCUCAACUUGGGAACUGCGUCUGAUACUGGAUGGCUUGAAUUCGGGAGAGGGAUGCAGAAUUCCAGGUGUAGCGGUGAAAUGCGUAGAUAUCUGGAGGAAUACCGGUGGCGAAGGCGGCAUCCUGGACCGAGAUUGACACUGAUGAGCGAAAGCUAGGGGAGCAAACGGG
rnacentral:rRNA from 1 species